rnacentral:rRNA from 1 species
AACGAACGCUGGCGGCAUGCCUAACACAUGCCAGUCGAACGAGACCUUCGGGUCUAGUGGCGCACGGGUGCGUAACGCGUGGGAACCUGCCCUUAGGUUCGGAAUAACUCCCCGAAAGGGGUGCUAAUACCGGAUAAUGUCUUCGGACCAAAGAUUUAUCGCCUUUGGAUGGGUCCGCGUUGGAUUAGCUAGUUGGUAGGGUAAAAGCCUACCAAGGCGACGAUCCAUAGCUGGUCUGAGAGGAUGAUCAGCCACACUGGGACUGAGACACGGCCCAGACUCCUACGGGAGGCAGCAGUGGGGAAUAUUGGACAAUGGGCGAAAGCCUGAUCCAGCAAUGCCGCGUGAGUGAUGAAGGCCUUAGGGUUGUAAAGCUCUUUUACCCGGGAUGAUAAUGACAGUACCGGGAGAAUAAGCGCCGGCUAACUCCGUG